rnacentral:rRNA from 1 species
CAGCAGCCGCGGUAAUACGUAGGGUGCAAGCGUUAAUCGGAAUUACUGGGCGUAAAGCGUGCGCAGGCGGUUCGGAAAGAAAGAUGUGAAAUCCCAGAGCUUAACUUUGGAACUGCAUUUUUAACUACCGGGCUAGAGUGUGUCAGAGGGAGGUGGAAUUCCGCGUGUAGCAGUGAAAUGCGUAGAUAUGCGGAGGAACACCGAUGGCGAAGGCAGCCUCCUGGGAUAACACUGACGCUCAUGCACGAAAGCGUGGGGAGCAAACAGGAUUAGAUACCCUGGUAGUCCACGCCCUAAACGAUGUCAACUAGCUGUUGGGGCCUUCGGGCCUUGGUAGCGCAGCUAACGCGUGAAGUUGACCGCCUGGGGAGUACGGCCGCAAGGUUGAAACUUAAAGGAAUUGGCGGG